UCAGAAGCUCAUACAAAGGUUCUGUAACGCCCCGAUUUUCGUUCGGGUUUAAAAAUCAUUUAAUAAUGCAUUUCUAGAAAUUAUAUUAAAAGUUAAAGCAAUUUAUUCGAAUGAAUUAAUGGGAGAAUUAAAAUUUUCCCUUAAAAUCAUUGGCCGGGAAUAUUUUGUAAUAUUCUUUGUGCCUUAAAAUACUCUCUGAAAUUUCUAGUGAAUUUUCGGAGCUCAAGAAAUAACUUUAAUAGCACAAAGUUCAUUUAAUCAAUUAAAAUAAAAAGAAAACAAACAAAAUUUCCCCUCUUUGUCUUUGGGCCGCUUUCGGCCCAAGAUCUUUUCCCCCUCCUUGGCCCGCUCGCCCCUCUCUCCUUCCCCCUCCCCCUCUCGGGCUCUCUCUCUCCCUCGGCCUAGCUCGCCGCUCGGCCCUCUCCUCCCCGAAGUCUACUCUGCCUCCCCAGCCGGCCUCCCUCUCCUCUUUGGCCAACAGAUGGGACCCAUGGGCCCACCUGUCAUCCCCAACCUCAGGCCGGCAACUGCCGUUGCCGCCAUGGCCGCCGAAAACCGCCCACGUCGCCGCCAUUCCCGGCCUCCUCGAGCCCUCUCUCGCGUGGGACCGGAAGCCACCCCUCUCCUCCACCUCCUCCCCCGUUUUUCCCCAAAAACCGGCGCCAGUUUGGCCCCCCCACGAUCCCACGAUGCCUCGCCACUUCGCCGGCCGUUGCCGCCCCACUCGGCCACGAUCUCCCCCUCCGGGGCCUAUAAAAGUGUACCCCGGCCUCCCCUCAUCCAUUUCCCCAACUCGCCGCCCCCUCCCGCGCGCUCUCUCGAGCUCCCCACGCCGCUCUCGUGCGCCGCCGCACGCCGGCGACCAUCCAGCCGCGCGCCAUCACCGUUUCCGUCGCCCCCGCACUGCGCCGCUGCCACCUAUAGCUUUGCAUCGCCCCACCGCACCCUGGCAUCCGCUCCAUUUCCCCUCCCCGCCUCCGAAGCACCGCCGCCACGCGCACCAUCUCUUUCCUCCACCAUCGCCAACUCCAGCCGCGCACCACCGCCACCAUAGCCGUCGCCGCUUCGCGCCGCCAACAUCGCCAGCUUCUCCGCCACGCGGGCUAGCUCAGCCACCGCUCCGUUUUCCCCUUUCCCUACCGAAACCACCAUUUCACCGUGCACCCGAGGUCGCCGACAUAUUCACCGCCUCCGGUCGCACCUCGCCGCCGCUGCCACGCCGCGCCAACACCGCCGUCGGCUUCGCCGUGCCUUGCCGCUGCCCGUCCGCCCCUCCUUUUCCACUCGCACCCCUUGGAACACCAUUCCCACCUCAAACCCGAGCCCCACCACUAACUGCCGCCAACCGGCCGCCUCUUGCCGCCGUCCCCAUCUACCUCACGCCACGCCACCGCCUCCACCGCAUUCGCUGCAUCCCACCGCCCCUCGGCCGCGGCUCCGCCGUGGUCGGGCGUCGUCGGAACGCCGUUCUCGUCGCCUCCCGUGCCGACCGCCGCCAUCCUUUCCGCCGCCGGUCGCCUCUCCGUGGUCGUCUCGCCGUCGCCGCCCUCGGUGAGCACUCCUCCCUCUUCCCUGUUUCUCCCCUUGGCCGGCCGCCUCCCGUGCUUGCGCGCGCCGUGCCGCCGCCGCCGGUGGCCGCCCAGCCCGUGUGCCGCCGUCGCUUUGGUCCCAGCCGCCGCCGCCGCCAGCCUUGUGUGCGCGCUGGCCAGGCCGCGUCGCCCGGCCGUCCCCAGCCGUCCGAUUGGCCUUGGCCGAUCUGGGCCGUCCAACCCGUGGACCGGCGGUGGACCGUCCAUUGUGGUCCCGGUCCACGGUGGACCGCCACCUCGUCUCGCUGACGUGUGGGGCCCGCCUGUCGGCGCCGGCGCCCCUUGCUGACGUCAGCGAAUGCCUUUUCCUUUGAGAAAAUAAUUGAUAAUUGCGCAAUAAAUCAUUAAUAAUUAUAGAAAUCCAUUUAAAUGGCUCAAAACUUCUAAAAUUCAUAUCUAAUUCAUUCGAACUCCAAAUUGGGCCAUUCAACUUGCAAAAUUCAUCUAAAAUUGAGCUCUACAUGUUUGUUUACUUUUUAUGUACUGUUUCCUUGGUUUUUAUUAGAGUUUUCCUCGUUUUGCAUGCCAGCGUGUAGUUCCCGUCGUUUCGGAAGAUCGCGUUCGCAAGGAUAAGAGUUCAUAAGAUCCAAGUGAAGAAGCAAGGCAAGUCACACAUUCCCCUUGAGCAUGUUGAUCCCAAUUUAUAAAUGUUUUACCGUUUACAAAUAAAUAGGCAUGUUUUGCUAAUUACAUGGGAUCCGGGUAUUACCUAUCUGCUCGCUUGUGCCAUAUUUACUUGAUAUCUGUUCUUUAUCAACCUUGGGUAAUGAAUCGACUAGCUCAUGUUACUUAUGUGACCUAGCUCAGUUGAUGGGAUAAUUACAGUAUUAGACCUUUUUAGUAUCAGAGUGAGCUGCGUGCUCGAGACAUCUGGCCAUGCUUCAUGGUCGUAAUUAUCCAACUAAAAUGCGACUGAAUGGUGGGCUGUGGGUGCAUGGUUUUGCUAGUCGCACCCAUGGCAAUUAAGGACCAGUUCACGGGAUGCCCUGGAAGAACUUAUCGUACUUACCACAAGCCAGCGUGGGCAACGGCUGGGCUUGUAGUGUAGCUUUCCUCUAGCCGACGCAUCCAGGCAAGGGUGGGUGUGAUGGAGUUUGGAUGGGCCCUGCGACGGCCUAUGCGGCUUCCGGAUUCACCUAGGCACGAGAGGGGACUGCCCGCUGCCUUGCGAGGAGUGAGGGUGAAACCUGAGGUGUGGUGUGCUUGGUUAGAGGGGGUUAUGCGAAGGGUCCUGUCACGGCCUCUUUCCGGUAUGUCGUGGUGGCAUGUCGGCGCACGGAAACGUGUCGUGGGGCUGUGUCUUGUGGGUACAGUUGUACACCUCUGAUCAGAGUAAAGCUAUUCGAAUAGCCGUGCCCGCGGUUAUGGGCGGUCGACCAGAUUCACCGUGAUUAGUCCCACCUUAAUAAAUCGACUCAAUACACUGUAGUUCAGGUGGGUUGGUUGGGCCUGUUCAACGUGGUGUAGCGUUGAUCAGUGGAGAUUCAAUAUUACUUUAAUUACUCAACCGUUUUACUGUUUUGCUCAAUAAAAUGUUUUACAACCGCCAUUAUGCAAAUAGCCACAAACCAUCCUUGUAUCCCCUUGCACAUCUGCAUCGUUGGUGUGGCUUGCUGAGUACGGUAGUUGUACUCAGUCUUGCUAUUAUUCCCCCUUUUUCAGAAGUGUAGUGCUUCUGAGCUGAAGAUGGAGUUAGAGGACCAAGGCUCAGACCCCAGUUGAGUUUUGCCUGUGGAGUGGAGCUGAAGCCCCGCUAGGAUCGCCUUUUUCCGCUGCUGUCGUUCUAUUUCGGUGUGAGGACUAAGUGCCUCUUCCGUAAGUAUUUUACGCUUUAUUUACGUUUGGAACUGUAUAUUACUUGUCGUUUUGUGUACCCUGGAUGGUCCUGGACAGGGAUUUAAUACGCAAAAUAGUCUGGAAAUUUGGGUUAAAUUUCUGGGCGUGACAGGUUCUUUGUCAGCCUCACUAAAAUUGUUCCAACCAAUGCGUUUGAUAGGUGCAUGGUACCUAGUAACAAUCCCAAUCUCCCUUGAAAGUAGUUCAUGAUUUUCUCCAAUUGGCCUCCUCUCUACUGAAAUAUUCAAGUUCAGUGGGUGACCAGCUUUUUUUAUCAGGAGCUCCAGACCUUUUGAUUUAUUCUUUCCACGCACUUUCUUGGAGUUGGAAGUAGAAACAUGCUGAGUUUGUGGGCAAUUAGAUGGUUGUGAGUUUCUUGGAGG
rnacentral:lncRNA from 1 species